UACGUAGGGUGCGAGCGUUGUCCGGAAUUAUUGGGCGUAAAGAGCUCGUAGGCGGUUUGUCGCGUCGGCCGUGAAAACUUGGGGCUUAACCCCAAGCUUGCGGUCGAUACGGGCAUCACUGGAGUUCGGCAGGGGAGACUGGAAUUCCUGGUGUAGCGGUGAAAUGCGCAGAUAUCAGGAGGAACACCAGCGGCGAAGGCGGCGCUCUGGGCCGGAACUGACGCUGAGGAGCGAAAGCGUGGGGAGCAAACAGG
rnacentral:rRNA from 1 species